UAGUCCACGCCGUAAACGAUGAUUACUCGCUGUUGGCAAUACACCGUCAGCGGCUAAGCGAAAGUGAUAAGUAAUCCACCUGGGGAGUACGUUCGCAAGAAUGAAACUCAAAGGAAUUGACGGGGGCCCGCACAAGCGGUGGAGCAUGUGGUUUAAUUCGAUGAUACGCGAGGAACCUUACCAGGGCUUAAAUGUAGAACGACCGAUCUGGAAACAGAUCCUCUCUUUGAGCGGUCUACAAGGUGCUGCAUGGUUGUCGUCAGCUCGUGCCGUGAGGUGUCGGGUUAAGUCCCUUAACGAGCGCAACCCCUAUCUCUAGUUGCCAGCGGUUUGGCCGGGGACUCUAGAGAGACUGCCCGUGCAAGCGGUGAGGAGGGUGGGGAUGACGUCAAAUCAUCACGGCCCUUACGUCCUGGGCGACACACGUGCUACAAUGGCGAGUACAGAGGGUAGCGAAGCCGCGAGGUGGAGCCAAUCUCAGAAGCCUGUCCCAGUUCGGAUUGGAGU
rnacentral:rRNA from 1 species